rnacentral:lncRNA from 1 species
UGAAGAUCUAAUGUACAGCAUGGUAACUAUAAUUAGUAAUGCUGUAUGUGGGAAUUAACUGGUGGUCCAGUAGCUAAGACGUGAGGCUCCCAAGGCAGGGGGCCCAAGUUCAAUCCUUGGUCAGGGAACUAGAUCUGACAAGCUGCAACUAAAGAUGCUGUGUGCCACAACUAAGGCUUGGUAGAGCCAAAUAAAUAAAUAAAUAUUUUUAAAAAUAAUAAUAAUGUUAUAUUGUGUACCUGAGAGCUGCUAAGGGAAUAGCUCUUAAGUGUUCUUACCACACACACACAGACAAAAAGAGAUAACUGUAAGAUAAUGGAUGUAUUAAUUAACUUGAUUAUGGUAAUCAUUUUAUAAUGUACAUGUAUAUCAAGUCAUCUUGUGCACCUUAAAUAUAUGCAAUUUUGUCAAUUAUACUUCAAUAAAGCUGAAAAAAAAAAAACACCAUGCCUCAGUGUCUUCUCAAAUGAGAAGCAUCUGAAUGAGCAGCUAAUGCGUGAAGCAAGAACUGAAAGCAGAAAGAAGAUGGAUCAAGAGGACAGGAGAGAUAAGCAAACAAAGCAGCAUCUUCCAUGGACAUCAGUACCUUUUCCCAACAAGUCCAAGACCCAGGGCUCCAAAAUACCACUCAUAAGACCUGUGAGACAUUCACCUGUGCAGAGAACUGUGAAUGAUCAAUAUGUAUGAUCUGAGAAAAGCCAAAUAAUGCACAAACACUUCCAUUCUGACUCUUCAAUUUCUGCACUCAUAUACGUGGAACGCUAUAAAAGACAGAAAACAAAGUAAGUAUAUUUCUGGGAAGAUCAGCAACCUGUUUGUUUCUUUGUGCAACUGAGCUGAAUUUCUGGAAAGAAUUGAGAGGAAAAAAUAAUUUCAAGUUCAUGUUUUUCUCUAAAUUUUAGAUAUAAUUUCUCUGUGCCAAAUGAAGUACUGAAAGUUAACAGACUUCAUGAAUUUCCAC